AACGAACGCUGGCUGCAGGCUUAACACAUGCAAGUCGAGCGCGCCGCAAGGGGAGAGGCAGACGGGUGAGUAGCGCGUAGGAAUCCACCCAUCUCAACGGACUAACGCAUGGAACCGCGUGCUAACACCGUAUACGUCCUUCGGGAGAACGAUUUCUCGGAGAUGGAUGGGCCCGCGUUGGAUUAGCUAGUUGGUGGGGUAAAGGCAUAACAAGGCGACGAUCCAUAGCUGGUCUGAGAGGAUGAUCAGCCACACUGGGACUGAGACACGGCCCAGACUCCUACGGGAGGCAGCAGUGGGGAAGAUUGGACAAUGGGCGCAAGCCUGAUCCAGCCAUGCCGCGUGAGUGAUGAAGGCCCUAGGGUUGUAAAGCUCUUUCACCGGUGAAGAUAAUGACGGUAACCGGAGAAGAAGCCCCGGCUAACUUCGUGCCAGCCGCCGCAGUAAAUC
rnacentral:rRNA from 1 species